UCCGGCGUGUUGCUGCUUGUUUAUCCGGCGCUUGACACGGCGGUGCACCGACUUCGCGGGGGUUUCUGUGUUGUUUAUCUUCGUUCCCGAGCGAGAGGGUGGUUGGGGGGUGAUGCCUCGAAGGAGCGCCGUUCGGUAAAGCACGACUCCAAAGUUGACGUUCCUCAUGCUGCUCAGUGAGGGGGGAGCGCGGCGGCAGCCAGCAGCCGGCUCGGGAGCCGCGGUCGGAGCUGGUGUUGUUCUCCUACGUAUCAGCAUGCACGGGCACAUCGGCUCCCAUACAAAACAGCUGUCAAGCCGAGAUGCAAAUGUCAGAGCAAAAGAAACCGGGAAAACGAGGAGAACUGGAAGCGCAGAGCAGGUUAACCCUGCCGGGGUGCCAGCGGAGCGCGGCCCAUAGCCAUUGUCUUCCUUCCCCACAGAGACCCAGGGGGAGGAUGCUGACUGCAAGUAAAGGGGCGAAUCCACUCCUUCCUCCCCCUCCCCGGUCUAAAUAGCGGUGUCCCCGCAGCGUUUGCCCCAGGGUGUCCUCCCCAGGGCCCUGCCCAGCGUCCCGUCGGGACGCGCUCGCCGCAGGAUCCCCCGGUGCUUUGGUGGUAUGGCCACAGGCAGGCGGGCAGCCUUCUCCGAACGCCCCUUGUCCUCCCGUCCCGGUGCUCUGCCCGCAGGUUUCAGGCGUUGCCACUCUGGCGUUGCAGCACCGGCUCCUAUCGAGGCAGUUCCUAUCGCGGAGCGGCUCCCGCUGAGCCGUUCAUUUUGGUUUGCGGAGUUGUGACACCCUCUGUAUCAGCCUGGGGGAUUGACGUGAACUUCAGCCUGCCCUCAUCCGUUUCCCUCCGGGGACAUGAUUCAGACUUUUCGUCUCCAUUUUGUUGCAGCUUUACCUGGCACAAAUCUCAGCCCUGACGUGAGCAAAUGGCAUUUUUUGAAGGUGUUUGAGCCGGACCCCAGCAAGUUGUCCAUUUUGUUUUGUCUCUCCUGGUGUCAUUAUGUUUCCCAUGCAGUAUGACUGUAAUGCUGUUUUAGCUCCUUAUGAAAUGCGAUUUGAUGUUCUCUUAUGUGUGUUUGGAGUUACAGGUGAAAAAAAAGAUUCAGGCCUUCUUAUAAAAAAAGCCAUUUUUUAUUGCUGUUUACAUUCUGUGCUUCAUAACCCAAGUAUUUCCAUGGAGCUAAAGCAGACAUAAGUCUUUAUAGUCAUUGUGCUGCUCCUUCAUCGGGGAGAAAGGCAUCUGGUUAUCGAGCCCUCACCAUGCUGAUGUCUGAGUGUUCAGCGGUUGCUUGUGAAUGUUUCCUUUCCAAGCACUUGAAAGGGGGGAAAGUCUGAUGGGAGAAUUAUCUGACCUGCUCAGAACUCUUGGGAAAUCCGUGAUAGGUUGCUAGAAGAGCUGGAAGCCACGUCUCCAUGUGAUGGCAUAACCACAAGCUGUUCAUCCUUCCUCUAUGCUCAGUGCUCGAAAGACUGCAACGAACAGGCUGCCCAGGGUGGUGGUGGGGUCACCAUCCCUGGAGGUGCUCCAAAACUGUGUGGAUAUGACACUUAGGGACGUGGUUAUGGGCACAGAGGGGAUGGGUUGAUGGUUGAACUAGAUGGUCUUUGAGAUCUUCUCCAAACUUACUGAUACAUGACUCUAUGAAACAGCAUGUAGCAGGCUUCUCCUGACGUCUCCGUGGACUGUUCCAGGGAAAGAGGCAGGUCCUGGUGCCCUGAAGGGUUGGUGAAUUGGGUAGUGUGUGGGCAUGCAAACAUUGGAUUGGAUUGACUUGGUCCGUUGGAUGGAUGACAAUCACAAGUUGAGUCUUUUCCAAAGGUACCAUAGCCAAUAUUUUUUGAGUGGGCAUAAAAGGAAAACAGGGCAAAAGCAGACCCCCAAGCAAUUAUUGUUCCACUCACAGUUUUGGUAGGGAGAGGUGGUGCCAUCUUUGCCAGGCAAAUGUCAAACCACAAAAACAUUUCUAGGUUAAAUUCAACAUCUUGAAUUCUGACGGGACUGUGAAAUGGGCAGCCCAUGAAGAUCACAGGAUACAAGUAUGAGAAGCACAUGAUUGGAGCAUGAAGCAGUCAGAGGCUGCUUGAAUACAGGCUGUGAGUGCGGGUGUUGGGGCCCGUGGUCUGAGGAUCUGAAAGGCACAACUAUUCAGCCUAUUACAGGGUUUCCCUGUCAGCUGUGCUGAGCACUUAGUGGUUACAGCUGAGGCUUUUUACUCUUGUAUCAUACCCAGUCAUCUUGGAAGCUGCUGAAUAAGAUCGGUAUUGCAAGAUAACCCUCUUCUUCCCAUAAACGAUGGUCAUGCGCCUUCAGAUGAGGAUGUUGUUCUGGUCAGAUGUACUAUCAGCUGGGUCUUCUGGUGCUUUGGGAAUGGAAAAGUUCUUCUGAAGUCAGUGAAACGAACAAACAAAAAAAACCAACGCAACGAAUGAGUCUGUGAGCUGGUAUCUCCACCAGUUGUGGAGUGUUGACCUAGAAAACAUCCAUCCAUCCUUCUGUAAAUCACAGUGUUUUACUGCGGUUUCUACUACUGGAGCACGCUUUUUGGCCAAAAACCCAUCUUUUUAUAUUUGAGCUUUCAUGUAGCACUUCCCUCCUCUUAAACAAUUUUCAGCGAUACAGGUCUUUAUGUUUCAAGCGCCGUUGCUAAUGGAGGCAGCCCUCGGAAGGCACACACUCCAGCCACCACAAAAUGAGUGUCUGACAUGAGAUGUUAGUGCUUAUUAUGCCACAGCUUUGGCAUGCUACCCGCUUGUGAAGGCAGCUUCAAGGAUGCGAUCCAGAUCUAGCAGAUAUGCCAUAGCCUGUUGCCGUCUGGUUGUCUGAUGCACGUGAUUCUCUGACACGGAGUGGUUCCUGGCAGCCCUGCUGCCUGGGGGUACUGGGUAAGCUGUCAGCUAGCCCAGAGCUUGUCUCUGUUUUACAUGCGUAAAUGCAGCGUUGGGAAGAACCAGCUCCCUUGAGCACACACAAAUGAACCCUGUACUUGUAGCGUAUAUUGUAUUCUGAGGAUAUUGAGGUUUGCAGUCACCUUGCUUAAAGCAAGAGAGCACUCUGAGGUAGGUGCAGCUGUAGGCAGUUGUGGCACUAACACAUAUGAUGCCUGCAUUCUAGUGUCGCUUCAACUGCCUGAGUUUGGGAGCUCUUUUCGCUGACUCUUGGGAAGCUGGAAGGGAUGGGAAAACCCAGGCUGUGCUCACUGGAACCGGUGCAUUGCAGCUGUGCCUCAGACUGAGCUGAAAGGGAUGUAAAGCAGGAGUGGGUGCUGCCUUCACAUAUGGAAAUGCCACAUCUCCUGGCAUGCCCAGCCUGGCUCCGUGCCCCUGCUCCACCCCUGGUCCCUGCCAGGUGGAAGGUGUGCAGUAUCUGUAUAGCUGUGAUCUGCUUGCUGCUCUUUCCUUAGGUGGGGGCCUGAUGUACCUGGAAGCAGUGCCCAACUUCAGGCAGCUCUGUGGCUGGAAAUUCCUCUUUCCCCAGCUGGGUUGCCCCUGUUGGUGCCUCAUUUCUAUCUUUGUUAGCAGGAUGCUCAGCUUUAAAGCAUUCGAGGGGAGCGUUCGCAGAGUGCAAAGUCUUAAGAGCUUUGUCUCCUUGAUCCUCCUUGCAGAGACAGACUGCUCCUUUCCAACCCGUGCACUGUGAACCAGUCGGCUACAAAGCCUCGCAAUUUCCAAAGAACCGGAGCCAAAGCAGAGGGGCUCUGGCAGCUUCUCAGGGUGACCUUCGGAGCCACUGCUGGCUCCCACCUUGGCUCAGCAGCCCUGGAGGCUCCCCCGGAGGUUCUUGAGUGCUGAAUUGUUGCCAGGACCACAGCAGAGCCUCUGCGCAGCAGCUGAUCACACUCAGAAACUCCGCACCUUUUUAUGGCAGCAGAGGGAACGAGAAGGCUUAACGAGUGCUGUUGGCUCCUCCAGAAAAGGAAGGAGGGAUUUAUGUUGUUCUCCAGGCUCUUAAAUAAAAACAGUAAAAAGCCAGAAAUGUUCUCUGACUUGUGAGAAGUAAAUGUGUAAACUUGCUGGAAAUGGGGGAAGCGUUUGUAUGCUGUGUUGCACCUACCUGAGCAGCUUCUAGAGAGGAGGAAAUGCUUAAAGGAAGUGGCAAAGAAGGACAGAUCCCCACAGGAGUAGUGAUUGCAUUGCUGUGGGAACACGGGACAUUGCCUGCUCUGUUUCUGCAUGCAUACAUUGAAUUUCCGAGGUCUAUUCAACACUGCUGGCGAAGAUAUAUUCAGAAGAAAGACAGCUACACGAAUAACUUAGCUCUCCUGAGAAGACAUCAUUUGGGCAUCAGGAUCAGUGCCUGUUUGUUUGUUGCUUCAGAAAGAAGCAAAACCAAAAAAUGAUUCUUCCCCUCCAGAGAGUCAUAAAAGUUGCUGGAAAGAGCAUAUGUCUGUAAAGAGUGUGUGUGUUUGCACUGUAUCGAUCUGAAUUUGCCUGAGAUUUAAAUGACCGCAUUUGUUUGAUUGCUGUCUGCUGUGAGGCAAAGCAGCUGGAAUUGCACAUGCCUAAGGAAGAGAAAAUGCAUCUAACCAGGAGCGCUGUGAGAACUCGGAGAACUGAGUGACCAGCCAAAUUCAGUUUUAGUUCUGACUGCUCAGGAACAACACAGCAAGCAGCUUCCAGAAUCCCCUCAAAAUGCAGGAAGGAAAUGUCACACAUCAUGCCUUCAGCAUGGCCAGCUGUUGAUACGCUUCAAAGAAAUGUGUGUGGUGGUUAGCUGUACAAGUCUGGCUCUGUCUGGGCUGCCCACGUUUGGAAACCUGGCUCAGCAUCUGCCUGCAUGGUUCACAAGGCGUUGGUGGUACCUGAGGCACUGUGCCCCUCCAGCACCUUGCAGGAUGUGCUCUGUAACAGAUUCAGCAGGAACAGGGAGAGCCAAGACUGUAGGAAAAGCAAUCAUCAGCAAGUGGUUAGGGUCUGCUAUGAGUCUGGAGUCUGGAGUAACUGUGGCAUUUCAGUGAUGUGUCUGUAAUUGCUUUUUUAAUUAUCAUAGAUGUCCAUUGCUUUUGUUAUCUGUAAAGAAAAGGAAGCAGAGAAGAGCAAAUAAUAUACCUGAGACAGCAGCGCUUGCUGAAUUCAUAGAGUGAGCUCUGAUGCCACUUUUAGAUCUCAUCUGUGACCCAGCACUGACUGAGCCCAGCGGGCAUGUGCUGUAGCAAGGCUGGAAAGCAAAGCUUUCCUCUCUGUCUCACUCCUCUUCGAGUAGUGGUCAAACCUCAAGUCUCAUCGUUCCAUAUUUCUUACUGUGAUGAUGUCGGGCCGACUAGAAGUGUCUGCAGCUGCAAUUCAGUACAUGAUAGGGAACUCCACUGGGCGAUUGAUCUAUUCUGCCCUUCCUGUGAAGGAAGCCAACCUCGUUCACUCCUCCUGUUCUUAUCAGUAAACUAAUGUCUAGGUGGAUUUUAAGACUGAAACACAGAAGGAGGAUGGACUCUUCCUCUCAUUUAUAAUGGAUGAGGCUCUGAGCGGCCUGGUUGAGCUGUAAGCAUUCCCAUUCAUUGCAAGGGAGUUGGACUAGGUGGCCUUUAAGGGUCUCUUCCAACUCAAGCGAUUCUAUGAUUCUGUGAUGUGAUCACCCUAAAGCACCAUAGUUAGAACCAUUGCUCUCCUCCCACUCCUGUUAUAGGUGCCUAGAGGGAAGGAUCCUAUUUACACAGUGCCCAGGAAGACUGCAGAAAUCUGCUCAGCGUUUGAGUAUUUCAUCUGCUAUCAAGGUCAUUUGCCUAUUUUUACCCAUGCACAUGCUACACAAAAAUAAGAAAGAUGGGUUCUCAGAGGCAGACAGCUCUGAGUGAAUGCUCUUCCCAUCACCAGUCUCUUUCUUCAACAUUUAAGUAACGGAGGCGACAGCAAAGACCAAGUUACGCCAGGUGAAGAUGGGAUAUAGAAGUGCUCUCCAUUGUUUUGCAAUGAAGGGAGCUCUGCAGUGCCUCUGACUGGCAGCAAUACCAGCAGCUUGUUUCCUAGCACACCCUUAGCAGUGUCCCUUCUGCUGGUGCUUCUCAAAGGCAUGCUGCAACAAGGCCUUCUGCCCGCAUCUGUGCUUGAUACCUUCAUAACAAAAGUACAAAGCAGCACCCCUAGGGAGAGGCUUCUUUGUGAGAGUUCUGCUUUACUUCUAAAUCAGAACUGUGAGGUUUCAUUUAAAAUACAGUCUGCUGGCAGUAAUGGGGUUGCUUUGGGGUUUUUGCCUCAGAUACGAUAUCCAGCUUUGUCGUUCUUCGAUUAGCAUUAUGAGGCAUCCUUGGAAUUAACGGCUUAAUCUCUGUGUUUUGUCAGGAGGCGUAAUCUCCCUCCUCCCUUAAUGUCACAUACCACAUAUGAUGUAGCAUGUUACUAAUUACUGCGUACAGGCGCAGGCAGCCCCAUUCCAUGCAUUCUCAUUUCUGUUUGUUGCUAAUUAGGAAUAGUCAUGCUGCUGGUGGGCUCUGGUGCUCCAUCUGUAUUGUCUGUAGGGUAGGCAUCUGCCAGAGGAUGGUGGUUAUUUUGAAUUAGAUGUGAACAUCCAUCUCUUCUUUACUAUUUUUCCCAAUGUUACAAGCUUCCCCAGCUUUAAAAAUGCGAGAUACGGAGAAUUAGGGAUAAAUGAUCUUGCUGUCAUUCAUAACCCAAUGCAAAGAAAAGCUGGGAACACCAGGCCGUGCAGUACAAUCCUAUUUAGCUUGAAAGGAUAGCUAGGAAAUAGGAAGCAAGUGUGGGAAUACAUGAUGAAUUCCUAAAGGCGACCUGCAAAGUGCUUUAAAAAUUGAACUGUCCCUUUAGCAAUAUGCAAACAGCAAUAGGAAAGGGAGCAUUUAGUCACAUACUUUUUCUUUUAAACCUCUGAAGUUUUCUGAAAUU